rnacentral:rRNA from 1 species
UACGUAGGGUGCAAGCGUUGUCCGGAAUCACUGGGCUUAAAGGGCGCGUAGGCGGCUUGUCAAGUCAGGGGUGAAAUCUUUCGGCUCAACCGGAAAAGUGCCCUUGAUACUGAUGAGCUCGAGGGAGGUAGGGGCAUGUGGAACUUCUGGUGGAGCGGCGAAAUGCGUUGAUAUCAGAAGGAACGCCGGUGGCGAAAGCGACGUGCUGGACCUCUUCUGACGCUGAGGCGCGAAAGCUAGGGGAGCAAACGGG